AAAUCCCACGGCUCAACCGUGGGGCUUGCUGGGGAUACUGCGGGCCUUGGGACCGGGAGAGGCGGGGGGUACCCCUGGGGUAGGGGUGAAAUCCUAUAAUCCCAGGGGGACCGCCAGUGGCGAAGGCGCCCCGCUGGAACGGGUCCGACGGUGAGGGACGAAGGCCAGGGGAGCGAACCGGAUUAGAUACCCGGGUAGUCCUGGCUGUAAAGGAUGCGGGCUAGGUGUCGGGCGAGCUCCGAGCUCGCCCGGUGCCGUAGGGAAGCCGUUAAGCCCGCCGCCUGGGGAGUACGGCCGCAAGGCUGAAACUUAAAGGAAUUGGCGGGGGAGCACUACAAGGGGUGGAGCGUGCGGUUUAAUUGGAUUCAACGCCGGGAACCUCACCGGGGGCGACGGCAGGAUGAAGGCCAGGCUGAAGGUCUUGCCGGACACGCCGAGAGGAGGUGCAUGGCCGCCGUCAGCUCGUACCGUGAGGCGUCCACUUAAGUGUGGUAACGAGCGAGACCCGCGCCCCCAGUUGCCAGUCCCUCCCGUUGGGAGGGAGGCACUCUGGGGGGACCGCCGGCGAUAAGCCGGAGGAAGGAGCGGGCGACGGUAGGUCAGUAUGCCCCGAAACCCCCGGGCUACACGCGCGCUACAAUGGGCGGGACAAUGGGAUCCGACCCCGAAAGGGGAAGGGAAUCCCCUAAACCCGCCCUCAGUUCGGAUCGCGGGCUGCAACUCGCCCGCGUGAAGCUGGAAUCCCUAGUACCCGCGUGUCAUCAUCGCGCGGCGAAUACGUCCCUGCUCCUUGCACACACCGCCCGUCACUCCACCCGAGCGGGGUCCGGAUGAGGCCCCGUCGCCGGCUCUGACCGGAUGGCGGGGUCGAGUCCGGGCUCCGUGAGGGGGGAGAAGUCGUAACAAGGUAGCCGUAGGGGAACCUACGGCUCGAUCACCUCCU
rnacentral:rRNA from 1 species